GACCCAAUGGCACAAUGGUUAGUGCGCUUGCUUUAUCUACAAGUGGAGCAGAUGUUCAGCGAGAGAUUCCUGUUCGAUUCAGGGUUGGGUCA